AGCGAACGCUGGCGGCAGGCCUAACACAUGCAAGUCGAACGGACCCUUCGGGGUUAGUGGCGGACGGGUGAGUAACACGUGGGAACGUGCCUUUAGGUUCGGAAUAGCUCCUGGAAACGGGUGGUAAUGCCGAAUGUGCCCUUCGGGGGCAAGAUUUAUCGCCUUUAGAGCGGCCCGCGUCUGAUUAGCUAGUUGGUGAGGUAAUGGCUCACCAAGGCGACGAUCAGUAGCUGGCCUGAGAGGAUGACCAGCCACAUUGGGACUGAGACACGGCCCAAACUCCUACGGGAGGCAGCAGUGGGGAAUCUUGCGCAAUGGGCGAAAGCCUGACGCAGCCAUGCCGCGUGGAUGAUGAAGGUCUUAGGAUUGUAAAAUCCUUUCACCGGUGAAGAUAAUGACUGUAGCCGGAGAAGAAGCCCCGGCUAACUUCGUGCCAGCCGCCGCAGUAAAAC
rnacentral:rRNA from 1 species